ensembl:lncRNA
CCCAUAGGAUCCCAUAUGGCCCCAUACGGCCCCAUAGGAUCCCAUAGGGCCCCAUAGGAUCCCAUAGGGCCCCAUAGAAUCCCAUAGGUCCCCAUAGGAUCUGAUAGGGCCCCAUAUGCCCAUAGGAUCCCAUAUGGCCACAUACGGCCCCAUAGGAUCCCAUAGGGCCCCAUAGCCCCAUAGGGCCCCAUAGAAUCCCAUAGGUCCCCAUAGGAUCUGAUAGGGCCCCAUAGCCCUAUACGGCCCCAUAAGGCCCCAUACGGCCCCAUAAGAACCCACAGGGCCCCAUAUGGCCCCAAAAACCCCAUAGAAUCCCAUAGGGCCCUAUAGGGCCCCAUAGGAACCCAAAGGAACCCAUAGGAUUCCAUAGGGCCCCAUUGCCCCAUAUGGCCCCAUACGGCCCCAUAAGAACCCACAGGGCCCCAUAGCCCCAUAGGGCCCCAUAGAAUCCCAUAGGUCCCCAUAGGAUCUGAUAGGGCCCCAUAUCCCCAUAGGAUCCCAUAUGGCCACAUACGGCCCCAUAGGAUCCCAUAGGGCCCCAUAGAAUCCCAUAGGUCCCCAUAGGAUCUGAUAGGGCCCCAUAUCCCCAUAGGAUCCCAUAUGGCCACAUACGGCCCCAUCGGAUCCCAUAGGGCCCCAUAGCCCCAUAGGACCCCAUAAGGCCCUAUAGGACCCCAUAAGGCCCCAUAGGAUCCCAUAGGGCUCCAUAUCCC